rnacentral:lncRNA from 1 species
AAGCAAUCUUUCUGCCUUGGCCUCCCAAAGCACUGGGGUUACAGGCAUGAGCCACCAUGCCUGGCCCCAUGUCCUGUUUCUAAACUAAUAAUUAGCAAGGUAAGGCAAAAACGGUCCUUUUACCUGUAUUUGAGCUCACAUCUACGGAGGCUUCAACAGAACAAUUCCAUGUCCUAUUUUUGGAAGAAAGCUCCAAUUUCUAGCCCUAGUUUUCAGUGUUGUGGAGUAGUUUUAUUUCCUGUCUUUCGUAUUUUUUUUUUAAAAAAAGCUUCUCCAACAUUUUAGUUGCAAUCUGAGACAGUCUGUUUCAGAGACAAAAUUUUACAGCCAGAUGCUCCAGUGUGAGCCGCUGCAGUUUGUUUCUAAGGAUGAUCAGUAACGAAUGGGGAAUGCUUGUCAUUUGCUCAAAUAUUGUGAAGUCUUGUCUUUUCUUGGGCACAUGCACACUUUUAUAGGCAAGGUUUCAUCCAUCCGUAAUGCCUGCUGGGACAACUGGGAGAACAGGUCAGUCAUUUGCAGAAACAGACCUAAAACCCUAAGGCCUAGGAGCCAUCACAGCCCCCACCCCAUCUGGACAUUAACAAGACACACAGGGUGGGGAAAGAAGGCAAAUGGGAGUGCAGUGGAGUCAGGAGAUAGGCAACUCUGGGCCUCCACUUCCGUGGGGGAUUUUAAUAAUCUCCCUGGAGUCACAGUGGGUUGUUAUAAGGAGGCAGAGGGAAGGUAGGAUGGUUCUGAUACAGAAAAUAGCUCCUCAGUGGGACAGGGGAGAUGACAGCAGAGAAGCUUUCAACCACCUUUUUUUUUGUGAUGCCACAAGUCUCUGCAGCUCACCUGUAUAGCGCUAUUGCUCUAUUCCACGUGACAAAACAUGAGUCACCUGCUCAAUUAGUUUCAUUCAGUCCAUUAUCCCUAUAGCUAGGGAGAGCUCUCUCCCAUAAACUGGCAAAUCAUUGUUCAAUAUAUUUAAUCUUAAUAUGGUUGAUCCUUCCUUUUCUUUCUUUUUACCUCUCUUCCUCUCUCCAUCCUUCUUAUUCAUCCAUCCACCUAUCUAUCCAUCCAUUUACCUGAAGGUAUGUUGACCAUCUACUUUGUGUCAGGUACUAUUCCAAGCACUUAAUAUACAAUAUCUGAUUAAAUUUUAACAAUACCCUGGAAGUUAGCUCUUAAUAUUCUUUAUGAAUAUUAUAUGAGGUUUAGAGAGUUUAUGUGUCUUGUCCAAGAUUCAGCAAAAUUCAGCCCAUGGGCUAAAUUCAACCUAUUUUUGUAAAUAAAGUUUAGUUGGAACAUAUCCAUGCCCAUUUGUUUACGUAUGACACAAUUUCAGCAGAGUGGAGUAGUUACAACAGAGACCAUUUGGUCCACAAAUGCUAACAUAUUUACUAACUGGCCCUUAACUGAAAAAGUUUGCCAACCCCUGUUCUUGCCCAGUAAUACUUAGCAAGAAAGUAGCAGAGUCAAAGAUUCAAACCCAGAUCUAUUUAACUCAAAAGGCCAUAAUUCUUCAAUGCUGUGUCAUGCAACAGAAGUAUGUGAGUUUUGUCUACAUGACUUCUUGACACCUAGGGUGAGAUGGCCAGGCUAGAUUUAUGGUAAGAGGAACAGAUCUGACAUAUAUUACUUAGUAAGUAGCCAAUUACUGUGGAAGACUCUCUUCAUUUGUAAGAAAAGCCAGUGAGGAUGCUUUUUUUUUUUUUCCUGGUGAAGUAAUUAUAGAGACGAGUGUUGAUGCAUGUUUUGACUUUGCUGCAAAAGUAGUUCUGUCUUCUCCAGUUUAAGUAAUUACAUUAGUUUCUAAAUAGAGCAGAUGGAACUAUAGUUGUCAAAGAAUGCAAAGAUCAGUCAACUGCAUUUAUGGUGUGACAUUCUAAGCAGAGAUACCGCAAAGUAUCUUGUGCAAAACCAACUAGGUGAGUGCUAUUGAGCACCUGUGAGCCAGAAGAAAACAGGAGAAAAAUGUGGCUAAAUGGAAAUGGAAAUUUCUACACAAUGGGAUCUGGUGGCAAACACAUUUUCCUACCAUAAUGCCCCAACAAUUGCUUGUUUUCUAAUGUUGCCUGGUUGGGGGAAGAUAUAUUCUGAGUGUUCCUCCAAACUUGUAGAACUCAAUUUUUCUGGGGGAGAGGGUUGUCCUAAGAUGGUCUGCUUGGUACUCAGAGUGCAAAGAUGUCUCCUGCAAGAAGCAAGCAGCUUAUGAAGGAAGCAAUGACUUAAAGCAGACACGUUACCUCUAAAGAACAGGGAGAAGAUCAAAUCCAGAACCAGGCAGUAGUAAUAAGGGAACUGACCUGGCAAUAGGCCAAGGAUCCAAACGACAUGGGAACCAGGCAUGAUUCAAAACAGCCACUGCUGAACACCUACACCAAUGGGGGGAAAAAUGAUACUCUUAGCGUUAGAGUCCACAACUGCUACAGAGUCUCAGCUGUGAUUUCUACUGCCGGGUGUCCCCAUAGAAGUCUGCAUCCCAACCCCUGAGACCUGUGAAUAUGUUACCUUACUUAGCAAAAGGGACUUUGCAGAUAUAAUUAAGCUAAAGAUCUUGAGAUGGGGAGAUUAUUCUUCAUUUUUUGGGUGGGCUCAGUGUAAUCACAAGUGUCCUUGUAAAUGAAAGUGGGAGGUAAGAGGGUCAGAGUCAGAGAGAGAUGUCAAGAUGCUACACUGCUACCUUUGAAGAUAGAGGAAGGGGCCAUGAGCCAAGCAGUGCAGACAGCUUCUAGGAGCUAGAAAAAGUCAGCCGACAGAUUCUGUCCCAGAACCUCUAGAACCAACACAUCCAGGCAACACCUUGAUUUUAGCCCAGUGAAACCCAUUUCAGACAUCUGACUCCCAGAAGGCCAGAAGAUAAUAAAUUUGUGUGGUUUCAAGCCACUAUGUCUAUGGUAAUUUGUUAUAGCAGCAAUGAUAAACUAAUACAACAGCCCUGACUUGGGGGGAGGGUAAAGGAAAGAGCCACACACCACCACCCUCUCACCAUGGGAGGAAUAGUUGAAAUGAACACAUGACUUCAGGUCCCCAACAAAGAGCUGAAUGGGUUUCAGGCUAGCUUGCUAAUUCAUUCACCAAUUCUCAGCUCUGGUGUUGCUUGAUUCAGAAGGUAAAGACAAUUUUUAAAUUUCCUUAAUUUCAAAACUUAAUUCAUCCAAUGCAUUUAAUUUAAAAUCAUACAUUAUUUAUCCACAAAUCCUGAUACACAGGGAAAGAAACAGAAAUAUUUGCUGGACAGGUGGCAUGGAAACAAAGGGUUAUUAGCGAUUGCCAUGCAGGCCUAAGUGAAUUCACAAUGACCAUCAUGACAUCAUGUCUGUUGUUACUAUCAAGAGCGUUGCUCUUGGAUAAGUAUCAAUAACCUCAGAACUAUGGAAAGAACCAUGUGUGGAGUUUGGCACCACAGAUAUUCUCUGAGUGAUUGAAGUCUCUUCUACCAUGAGGCCUUGAAAGCUCCAUGAUAGAGAUGACAGAGCUAUAAGAUGAAAGCAGCCCAAAUCCCUGAGUCACCAAUGUUUGAAGAAGAGCUUCCCAGGAGAGGUACCAGACCCACAUGAGACUUCACAUGAUUAUAAAAUGAACUUCUAUUGUGUUGAAUCUCUGAACUUCAGGGUUGUUUUGCAGCACAGACUACAUUAUAGUGACAAGUAGAGGAAGGUACAGUAAAAGCCUUGCCAUCACUCCCAUUAUACAGAGGAAGAAACUGAGACCUAGAGAAGUUCAGAACCUUGCUACAUCAAUCAGAAGUACAAGCCAAGGCUCAUGAAGUGGUUUCCUUAUUUUCUCACCCCAAGUUAGGAUCACCUCCGAAGGAAAUGACUUACACCCAAAUCAGGAUCUGUUUUUGAGGGAACCCAACAUAACACAUGGAGAGAUGGGUUUCCUAUGAAGAAGGAAAUAUGGGCUGUAAAAUACCACGGAGAGUCAGAGUAAGUACAGGCGGCUACAACAAAGAUAGAUCAGGUCACGGAGGUCUCUGGGAAUAGAGGAAAGCCACCCAGAGGAAAAAAGGACAUGACUGCCACUAGCACCAUAUGUAUGUUUCAGAUGGGAUGUGUAUUUAUGUGUGUGUGUGUGUGUGUGUGUGUGUGUGUGUGUGUGUAGGGAGGGGUGACAGAGAGAGAGAGGCAGAAUAAAUAUCUUGGUCAUUGGUUACAAGCCAACAAAACUGAAGUGAUGAAACUCAGUGAGUUUUAUAGAAAUGUGCUGGAGAUGCUUCAAUUACUUUCUCAAUAGGUCUAUUUUGAUAACUGAAUGAAAAGAAUCCAUGUGAAGCACCUACCACUCUUCCUGGCUUGUAGUGAACACACAAAAAGAAUUGUUGAUUAUUGUAGUAGACACUGUAGUGUACCUCCUAGAUUCUCCUUACCCAGCCACUAUACCCAUCCCCAUUGCUGUGAGGUCAGGUGCCCAGGAAUCACAGCAUCCCACCCACCCUUCCCUUGCUCCAGGCAAUGCCCUCAACUGGUAGGUGUCACUUUGCCCAGAAACUACCAUUCUUCUCCAGGGGACCCACGGCCAAGGGCAAACUGGCAUAGGCUAUGCAAGGCUGGCCCCUGGCAGAAUGUAUGUGGAAGGGGCAACUCUUCAGUGUGCUUUAUGGACCAUGGACCAAAUCCAGCUCUCCAUUUGCUUUUGUAAAUUGUUAUUGGAACACAGCCACCCCAUUCCUUUUUGAAUUGUCCAUGGCUGCUUUCCUGCUACAACAGAAGUUGAGUUAUUGCAACAGAGGUCGUCUGGGCCACAAGAUCUAAAGUAUUUACUCUGGCCCUUGAUGGAAGAAACUUGUCCACCGAGCCCUAGAGCUGCACUUCCAAUAUGGUAGCCAUUGGCCAUAUGUGGAUAUUUCAAUUUAAAUUCAUUAAAAUUAAAUAAAAUUAAUAUUUCAGUUCUUCAACUCCAAAAAUUACAUUUUGAGUACUCAGUAGCCAUGAGUCGCUGGUGACUCUCCUAUCAGCCCAGAUACAGAACACUGCCAUCUUCACAGGAAGUUCUGUUGGAUGGUGCUGCACUAUAGGCUUCAGCUUCUGGGUAAAACU